GUAGCUUGCUACUGGACCUAGCGGCGGACGGGUGAGUAAUACUUAGGAAUCUGCCUAUUAGUGGGGGACAACGUUCCGAAAGGAGCGCUAAUACCGCAUACGCCCUACGGGGGAAAGCAGGGGAUCUUCGGACCUUGCGCUAAUAGAUGAGCCUAAGUCGGAUUAGCUAGUUGGUGGGGUAAAGGCCUACCAAGGCGACGAUCUGUAGCGGGUUUGAGAGGAUGAUCCGCCACACUGGGACUGAGACACGGCCCAGACUCAUACGGGAGGCAGCAGUGGGGAAUAUUGGACAAUGGGCGCAAGCCUGAUCCAGCCAUGCCGCGUGUGUGAAGAAGGCCUUAUGGUUGUAAAGCACUUUAAGCGAGGAGGAGGCUUACCUAGCUAAUACCUAGGAUAAGUGGACGUUACUCGCAGAAUAAGCACCGGCUAACUCUGUGCCAGCAGCCGCGGUAAUACAGAGGGUGCAAGCGUUAAUCGGAAUUACUGGGCGUAAAGCGCGCGUAGGUGGCCAUUUAAGUCAAAUGUGAAAUCCCCGAGCUUAACUUGGGAAUUGCAUUCGAUACUGGAUGGCUAGAGUAUAGGAGAGGAAGGUAGAAUUCCAGGUGUAGCGGUGAAAUGCGUAGAGAUCUGGAGGA
rnacentral:rRNA from 1 species